rnacentral:lncRNA from 1 species
CAAUGAAGGAAAAAAGGAGGAAAUUGAUCAGGUCCCUUUGUUUAAAAAUCAUCAAGUUUAUAAUUGCACAUCUCGAACUAGCUGAUUUUUGACAAUAGAAAGAGAGACAGGUUAAGAGAAUUAUUUGGCUUAGUCUAUUGAUUCAUGCUUCUGGCCCUUAAUACACCCGGUUAUAUUAUUCUUCCAGGAAACUAGUUUCCUGUGCUACCAUUUCUCAUUUUCUAUAUGCGAAUAAUCAGUUCACUUUUCCCCACUUUUGAGACAAGCCUGACACCAUGGCAGCCUCUGAAGUUUUAUUGUCAAGGGCAAGAGAAUUCUGACUUAGCUAUGAGAAGAAAUAAUGUUUCUGUACUUGCUCACUCAGAGAGUUCGAGUUCACUGGAGUGCCUUGUCUUUUUCUCUCGAAGCCCCUGGAAUGGAGGAAAUCCCUUGCCUCCCAGAGAGAUUCAUUAGUUUUGGGGAGUAAAGGUGUAUGUUGUCACCUACACGCUCAAGAAGAAUACUGUUAAUGUUUAAUUAUUAGAAACGGGAAAGUGCAAUGAGGUCACGGAGAAGUUGGAGAAAAGAGAAAACCCUUGUAAUGCAUGAUUUAUAGUCAAAAUUGGAAAUAGGCUAGUUUUUCUUUUUGUUUUGUAUCAUGUGGUUUCUGCCAUUUGCAAAUUCUGUAUUCCGGCUCUUUUUCUAAUGAAUCAUUCAUUUAUUUUUCAAUGCAUUUAUUAAGCACCAAUUACAUGCCAAGUCUCCUCUGGGUGUUUAUGAUACAUGAGUGAACAAAAUUAACAAAAAUCCUUGUCUUCACGGAGCUUGCUUUCUAACGGUGGAAGGCAAGAAACAGUGAGCAUAAUGAACAUGUGAAUUAAGUGGAAUGUUGGAAACUGAUAUGUAUUAUAGAGAAAAGGACUAGAGCAUGAUCACAGACACUGGAUUCUUGACAGAGGGUGGUUGUAACCUUGAGUAGGAUUUUCAGGGUAGGCUUCCAUAGGAAGGGGACAUCUGAGCAGAAAUUAAAUGAGCAAAGGGAACACGCUGGGCUGCCAUCUGGAAAGAGCGUUCUAGGCAGAAGGAAUAGUUAGUGCAAACCCCUAGUGCGGGAGCAUGCUUGGUGCCCUGAGGGACAGUGAAGAGGCCAGAGUGGCUGGAGUCAGGUGAGCAAAGGGGGAAGUGAUAGGAGAUGAAUUCUGAGAGUGAAUGGUAGGGAGUGGAGGGAGGGUAAAGGGUGGAGAGAGGAGGCAGGCUAUUCAAGCUUUGUCAGCCCUCGACAUAACAUGAAUUUUUGCCCUAGAGUUAAAUCAGCACCUAUGGUGAGAACAGACUGCUAAGGAGCAAGUGAACAAGAAGAAAGACCAGUUAGGGUGUUGUGUCGCCAAGGAGACAUGCUACCGAUGGAGGCCAAGGACUAACGGCGGAAGGAAUGAAAGUGGACAGCAUUUCCUGACAGACUGGAUGUAGGACUUAAGAGAAAGAUAGAAGUGAAGCAUGACUUCAAGGUUUUGGGUCUGAACAGCACAAGAAUGUUGCCAUAGACAGAAAUGGUGGUGACUGCACGCAGAGCAAAUUUUGGAGAUGGGGGAAGAUCAAGAGUUUGGUCUGGGAUAUUUUAAAUUUGUGUUAUCUGUUAGAAAUUUACAUGGAGUGGAAGAGAGAGAUGUGGGCUGGGAAGAGAUAUUGAUUGCAUCUAAAGUUGAGAGUCUGGUUGAGAUGACCAAGAGAGUAAUUUAAGGAUGGAAAAGAGGUAGCAGAAUGCCUGGGCCACUCCAGGGUUAGGGGAUCAGGGUGAUGAAAGGCACCUAGCAAGAGAGAUGGAGACUGAGGGGCCAGGCAGGUAGGACAGAACCCAAGAGAAUAUGGGGGAUCUGGUAGCCAAGUGGAGAAAGUGUACCAAGAAGGAGGGAGAACACAGUUGUAUUAAAAGCUCCCGAGAAGUCAAGUCCAAAGAGGAUUGAGAACUGGCCUGCGGGGGUUUCUGGUGACCUUUAUAAAUAAGAGUGGUUUCAUUGGUGUGAUGAAUGAUGAAAACCUGAGGGAAGUGGGUUGAAGAGAAAUGGGAGGAAAGGAAUUGGAGACAGUGAAGUUGCAAGUAUAGACAACUCUUCUGAAGAGUUUUGCAAAGAAAUAUGACUGUAGCUGGCAAGGGAAGAUAUUUUGGUCUGGUUUUCUUUGCUUUAUUGUUAUUAAGAAGAGAGAAAUAAGAGUAGGCAAAGGGAAUAAUCCAACAGAGAGGGAAAAUUUGAUGAUGUGGGAGAAAGAGAAGAGUUUUCAAUGUCUGUUUCAGUUUCCUUGUCUACCGUGAAUUCACUCUUUUAUUUCCCCAGGUCAUUUCUUCUUAAAACACAUUUGUUCCUUGGCAUAUCUGGCUGACACACACUGUGGAGCUUCACCAAUCAGCACCUCUGUUCAUAGUAGAGAAAAAAUAACUCAAAAUGUAAAAAGAAGAAUCCGUGCAAAACUAACAGCAGGUAUUUUGGUGGAAAUUUGAGAAUUGCUGUGAGAAGAAAUGUUAAAUACCGUUUUAGAGUACAAGUCUACCACAGUCUUCUCCCUUUUUUCCGUUCUUCUUGACUACCUACCUGCCUGCAUGCCUGCUAUAAGUUUGUAAACAACGAUUCUCAAGCUCCAUUAAUUAUUUGGCAAAUAAUGAGUGAGUACAGCUGCUCACGGAUGAGAAGAAAUGCUGCUACUGCAGUCCAUUGCUCAAAACUGCUGCUGGAUCACGUCUCUGGGGAAGGUCAAAGCUUCCCUUGGUUGUUGAUUAAUUGAGGAAAGGCUGAUUCAGCAAGGGCCUAAUUACCAGAAUGGGAAGGAAAGAUCUGCUCACAGUGGUAAAAAUAACGUACUGUGUGAUGUAGAGUCAGUAACAAAGUACGCCGAUGUCACCAAGCAGUGGACACAGUCUUUUCCUGUGUGUGAGUUCUGAUAGAAGGUUGACUGCUCUCUUAAACAUUGUCUCGCCCACUCACCUACCC